GCCGUCUUAGCUCAGUUGUAGAGCGCGUUGGCUUUUAACCACGGGUCGUGGGUUCGAUCCCCACAGACGGCG